ACAGAGGGCAGCUACCCAGCGAUGGGGUGCGAAUCUCGAAAGCCUAUCUCAGUUCGGAUUGGAGGCUGAAACCCGCCUCCAUGAAGUUGGAUUCGCUAGUAAUCGCGCAUCAGCCAUGGCGCGGUGAAUACGUUCCCGGGCCUUGUACACACCGCCCGUCAAGCCAUGGGAGCUGGGGGUGCCUGAAGUUCGUGACCGCAAGGAUCGACCUAGGGCAAAACCGGUGACUGGGGCUAAGUCGUAACAAGGUAAC
rnacentral:rRNA from 1 species